rnacentral:rRNA from 1 species
AUGAACGCUGGCGGUAUGCUUAACACAUGCAAGUCGAACGAUCCUUACGGAUAGUGGCGGUACUGGUGAGUAACACGUGAGUUAUCAACGCUUAGGCGAGGCAUACCAAAUGGAAACGUUUGUUAAUUCCUCAUAAUGCUAUAAAGUUAAAGAUUUAUUGCCUAAGCACGAGCUUGCGUCUGAUUAGCUUGUUGGUGGGGUAAUGGCCUACCAAGGCAAUGAUCAGUAACUGUUUUGAGAAGAUGGACAGUCACACUGGAAUUUAGAACGGGACAGACUCCUACGGGAGGCAGCAGUGGGGAAUAUUUGGCAAUGGGCGAAAGCUUGACCAAGCAAUACCGCGUGAAGGAUGACGGCCUUAGGGUUGUAAACUUCUUUUCUGAUCGAUGAAGUUCUGACAGUAUUUCAGGAAUAAGCAU